AACAUUAAAAUUAAGGUGGUGAGGAGGUCUAUCGCUGGCCCUGCAAAGUUUUCUUACCUCAGUCAAGGUCUUCCCCAGCCCAGCUUCAAACAGACCCACUCUUCUGACCAUUCGAUUACAUCUCAACUGGCUGAACCUGAUGAUGCGACACCAAGCUGUUCUGAGAGUGCAUACAGUAAGGCAAAGAAGAGAGAGCUUAUGCCUGGGAUGCAGUCAAGGAUGAGAUGCUUAAGGUGUCGUUGAAUGUUCAGCACCAUUCACUACCCCGUGUGUUGUCUGCCGAGAACAUGGUGAUUAUAGAUGCAUUGAGUGCAGCUCCACUGCAGUGUUUUGUGAGGUUUGCCUGAAGAGGACUCACAGAAAUUCACUGCAUCUUCCUGAAAAGUGGAAUAAUGUUUACUAUGAGCCAUCCUCCCUGGGGUUAUUCUUAUAUUUACCUGAAGCCCAUAGCACCCAUGAUGUGUACACAAAGGACAUGAAGGUCAUUGUCAGCACAGGACGGCUCUGCACCGUUACAGUCAACAUGUGUGGGUGUGAACC